rnacentral:rRNA from 1 species
AGAGUUUGAUCCUGGCUCAGGACGAACGCUGGCGGCGUGCUUAACACAUGCAAGUCGAACGGAAAGGCCCUGCUUUUGUGGGGUGCUCGAGUGGCGAACGGGUGAGUAACACGUGAGUAACCUGCCCUUGACUUUGGGAUAACUUCAGGAAACUGGGGCUAAUACCGGAUAGGAGCUCCUGCUGCAUGGUGGGGGUUGGAAAGUUUCGGCGGUUGGGGAUGGACUCGCGGCUUAUCAGCUUGUUGGUGGGGUAGUGGCUUACCAAGGCUUUGACGGGUAGCCGGCCUGAGAGGGUGACCGGCCACAUUGGGACUGAGAUACGGCCCAGACUCCUACGGGAGGCAGCAGUGGGGAAUAUUGCACAAUGGGCGGAAGCCUGAUGCAGCAACGCCGCGUGCGGGAUGACGGCCUUCGGGUUGUAAACCGCUUUCGCCUGUGACGAAGCGUGAGUGACGGUAAUGGGUAAAGAAGCACCGGCUAACUACGUGCCAGCAGCCGCGGUGAUACGUAGGGUGCGAGCGUUGUCCGGAUUUAUUGGGCGUAAAGGGCUCGUAGGUGGUUGAUCGCGUCGGAAGUGUAAUCUUGGGGCUUAACCCUGAGCGUGCUUUCGAUACGGGUUGACUUGAGGAAGGUAGGGGAGAAUGGAAUUCCUGGUGGAGCGGUGGAAUGCGCAGAUAUCAGGAGGAACACCAGUGGCGAAGGCGGUUCUCUGGGCCUUUCCUGACGCUGAGGAGCGAAAGCGUGGGGAGCGAACAGGCUUAGAUACCCUGGUAGUCCACGCUGUAAACGGUGGGUACUAGGUGUGGGGUCCAUUCCACGGGUUCCGUGCCGUAGCUAACGCUUUAAGUACCCCGCCUGGGGAGUACGGCCGCAAGGCUAAAACUCAAAGGAAUUGACGGGGCCCCGCACAAGCGGCGGAGCAUGCGGAUUAAUUCGAUGCAACGCGUAGAACCUUACCUGGGUUUGACAUGGAUCGGGAGUGCUCAGAGAUGGGUGUGCCUCUUUUGGGGUCGGUUCACAGGUGGUGCAUGGCUGUCGUCAGCUCGUGUCGUGAGAUGUUGGGUUAAGUCCCGCAACGAGCGCAACCCUUGUUCACUGUUGCCAGCACGUUAUGGUGGGGACUCAGUGGAGACCGCCGGGGUCAACUCGGAGGAAGGUGGGGAUGACGUCAAGUCAUCAUGCCCCUUAUGUCCAGGGCUUCACGCAUGCUACAAUGGCUGGUACAGAGAGUGGCGAGCCUGUGAGGGUGAGCGAAUCUCGGAAAGCCGGUCUCAGUUCGGAUUGGGGUCUGCAACUCGACCUCAUGAAGUCGGAGUCGCUAGUAAUCGCAGAUCAGCAACGCUGCGGUGAAUACGUUCCCGGGGCUUGUACACACCGCCCGUCAAGUCAUGAAAGUUGGUAACACCCGAAGCCGGUGGCCUAACCGUUGUGGGGGAGCCGUCGAAGGUGGGACUGGUGAUUAGGACUAAGUCGUAACAAGGUAACCGUA